UCGUGCCCUCUUGGGAACGG
rnacentral:misc_RNA from 1 species